CCUGAGCGCUGGCGGCGUGGCUAAGACAUGCAAGUCGUACGGGCGCAGCAAUGCGCCAGUGGCGGACGGGUGAGUAAAGUAUCGCUAACGUGCCCCUGAGUCCGGGAUAGCCGAGGGAAACUUCGGGUAAUACCGGGUGACACCACCUUCGGGCAUCCGAGGGUGUUCAAAGGCGAAAGCCGCUGAGGGAGCGGGGCGAUAUCGUAUCAGCUGGUUGGCGGGGUAACGGCCCACCAAGGCGACGACGCGUAGCCGGACUGAGAGGUUGGCCGGCCACAUUGGGACUGAGACACUGCCCAGACUCCUACGGGGGGCUGCAGUAACGAAUCUUCCGCAAUGCACGCAAGUGUGACGGAGCGACGCCGCGUGUGGGACGAAGCCCCGUCGGGUGUAAACCACUGUCAGGGGGCAGCCAAGUUCUGAGGCGCCCCAGAGGAAGGCACGGCUAACUCUGUGCCA
rnacentral:rRNA from 1 species